rnacentral:rRNA from 1 species
CGAUCGGGUGAGUAACACGUGGGCAAUCUGCCCUGCACUCUGGGACAAGCCCUGGAAACGGGGUCUAAUACCGGAUACUGAUCCUCGCAGGCAUCUGCGAGGUUCGAAAGCUCCGGCGGUGCAGGAUGAGCCCGCGGCCUAUCAGCUUGUUGGUGAGGUAACGGCUCACCAAGGCGACGACGGGUAGCCGGCCUGAGAGGGCGACCGGCCACACUGGGACUGAGACACGGCCCAGACUCCUACGGGAGGCAGCAGUGGGGAAUAUUGCACAAUGGGCGAAAGCCUGAUGCAGCGACGCCGCGUGAGGGAUGACGGCCUUCGGGUUGUAAACCUCUUUCAGCAGGGAAGAAGCGAAAGUGACGGUACCUGCAGAAGAAGCGCCGGCUAACUACGUGCCAGCAGCCGCGGUAAUACGUAGGGCGCAAGCGUUGUCCGGAAUUAUUGGGCGUAAAGAGCUCGUAGGCGGCUUGUCACGUCGGUUGUGAAAGCCCGGGGCUUAACCCCGGGUCUGCAGUCGAUACGGGCAGGCUAGAGUUCGGUAGGGGAGAUCGGAAUUCCUGGUGUAGCGGUGAAAUGCGCAGAUAUCAGGAGGAACACCGGUGGCGAAGGCGGAUCUCUGGGCCGAUACUGACGCUGAGGAGCGAAAGCGUGGGGAGCGAACAGGAUUAGAUACCCUGGUAGUCCACGCCGUAAACGGUGGGCACUAGGUGUGGGCAACAUUCCACGUUGUCCGUGCCGCAGCUAACGCAUUAAGUGCCCCGCCUGGGGAGUACGGCCGCAAGGCUAAACUCAAGGAAUUGACGGG